rnacentral:rRNA from 1 species
GACGAACGCUGGCGGCGUGCUUAACACAUGCAAGUCGAACGGAAAGGCCCUGCUUUUGUGGGGUGCUCGAGUGGCGAACGGGUGAGUAACACGUGAGUAACCUGCCCUUGACUUUGGGAUAACUUCAGGAAACUGGGGCUAAUACCGGAUAGGAGCUCCUGCUGCAUGGUGGGGGUUGGAAAGUUUCGGCGGUUGGGGAUGGACUCGCGGCUUAUCAGCUUGUUGGUGGGGUAGUGGCUUACCAAGGCUUUGACGGGUAGCCGGCCUGAGAGGGUGACCGGCCACAAUGGGACUGAGAGACGGCCCAGACGCCUACGGGAGGCAGCAGGGGGGAAUAUUGCAGAAUGGGCGGAAGCCUGAUGCAGCAACGCCGCGUGCGGGAUGACGGCUUUCGGGGUGUAAACCGCUGUCGCCGGUGACGAAGCGUGAGUGACGGUAAUGGGUAAAGAAGCACCGGCUAACUACGUG